rnacentral:rRNA from 1 species
CGCGUAGGGAUCUACCUUCUGGUGGGGGAUAGCCCGGAGAAAUCCGGAUUAAUACCGCAUACGCCCUACGGGGGAAAGCGGGGGAUCUUCGGACCUCGUGCUAUUGGAUGAGCCUGCGUAAGAUUAGCUAGUUGGUGGGGUAAAGGCCUACCAAGGCGACGAUCUUUAGCUGGUCUGAGAGGAUGAUCAGCCACACUGGGACUGAGACACGGCCCAGACUCCUACGGGAGGCAGCAGUGGGGAAUAUUGCGCAAUGGGCGAAAGCCUGACGCAGCCAUGCCGCGUGUGUGAAGAAGGCCU